rfam:Trichobilharzia regenti genome assembly, scaffold: TRE_scaffold0002278
AUCCAGGUGACGAGUCCCAAAUAGGACGAAAUGCGCAUCCUGGAU